UGACUUUUCUGUUCUUCUCUAACAAAAUAU
rnacentral:piRNA from 1 species